rnacentral:rRNA from 1 species
GACGUAGGGUGCGAGCGUUGUCCGGAUUUAUUGGGCGUAAAGAGCGUGUAGGCGGCCAUACAGGUCAGCUGUGAAAACUCGAGGCUCAACCUCGAGACGUCGGUUGAAACCGUUUGGCUAGAGUCCGGAAGGAGGAGAGUGGAAUUCCCGGUGUAGCGGUGAAAUGCGCAGAUAUCAGGAAGAACACCCGUGGCUAAGGCGGCUCUCUAGUACGGUACUGACGCUGAGACGCGAAAGCGUGGGGAGCGAACAGG